rnacentral:lncRNA from 1 species
AAAGUGGCAACGGCGGCCUCACUGGGCUCACCUUCAGGGGCAGCUGCUGCACUGCCUCGGCUGUGCUGCUGCAUGGCUAUGGUGGAGGGAACAAUCUUUUACCACUCGGGGGUGCCGUCCUGCCUGAUGGGUGAUGGAGAAACCCAGGGAAUGCAGGAGCCGCCCACGGGCCGGGCCAGGGUGAUUCCUCUCUAAUCAGUUCCCCGCCUUAUUGUUUCCCUGAAACUCGGGACCUUGGGGGCCUCCUCCAGAAGGCACUGGACAGUUGCUAGAGUUGCUGUUCCUCCUCUUGUGCUUUCUUUUCUGAGAGAUGCUGCCUGUAAUUAUUGACUUGCAUCCCAGCCCUCUCCCUCCACCUGAGGAAGUCGUUGAUUCCUGCGAAUGCAGGAGUCAGAGGGAGAAAAAUGGUAUGUUCUCAGAGCUCCAGCCAGCAGCUGAAGCCAGUGAGGCUGCCCAUCGCUGCAGCCCCUGCUCAGAUCCUCCCUCGAUUGCCUCAAGCUUGGGGGAUGGGCAGGGGGAUGGCCCUUCAGUGAUUGGCUCUGGAAGGCCUGUCUCCUCAGGCCUCUUUCUUCCCAGUUACUGACCAGUCUACCCCCCAGCCUCGAGCGCACUGAGGCAUUGUGGGCAGCCAGGCAGUUGGUUUGUUCAGACUUUUGGACUCAGAUGGGGAAAAUCUGAAGCACACGCUGGUUGAGAAAUUUGCCCAAGGCCCCACAGCCAGUUCCAGCACUGAUGGUUGCCACGGACAUUAUUUCCUUCAGUUUAUGACAGCCCUGAGAAGUCACUGGUCACGGAUAGCGUUGGUUCAUGAGAGCUGAUUGCUAAAUUUCCAGGAAUUUUGAGUCAGUUGUUAAACAUAGCCAUUAUUCAAUAGAUGGAGAUGGAAUCCUGGCUUUGCCACUUACCAGCUAGGUGACCUCGCCACGUGGCAAAAGCUACAAAGGAGUGAGGAGGGUUUGGAAACAGGCCCCUCUAGAGUCAAGUCUCGGCUUCGGUCUGACUAUCUGCGUCAGUUUUCUCGUCUGUAAAUGGGGAGCAGCUGCUGUUGAUAGCAGUAUCUGUUGUAUCUCUCACACGCUUUUGAAGGUUUGCUGAAUACUCACUAUGUGCCGAGCAUUGUUCUAAGCUCCUUGCUGAUAUUUU